ACAGUGGUCCAGUAACCUUACAUUACAAACAGGACUUUCAAUAAAGGUAAUGGCAACGUUAAGCAUGCAUGACAUUCCUAAACGAAUCCUACUGGCAGGCGGGGACCACCUCUUUGCGCCUUCUAUGAUGCCUGCCUGGUGCAUCAGGGAUAUAAAGAGAAGACAGACUGCCUGCCCACAAGGAGGUCACUGGCCAACACAAAAGCUAAGAUAAAAGCGCCAACCAGCUCCAAGGGUCACACUAGGACUACCGCCAUGGAAGAGGGUCUGAUAACAUACACGGACAAUCGGACACAGUAAUUUAGGAAGUCUAGAAAGCUGUCCCCAAAGUACCGGAACAUCAUGUACGCUUUUAAGGACAGAUGAUACUUUCUCCCACGUUUUAUUAUGAAAAAUUUCAGACGUACAGAAUAUUUUUUUCUUUUUUGCAGAAUCUCACCGCACACACUACGUACGUACCCACCUCCUUCGCUUUUUCUAUACUUGCUUCGACAUGCCUUUCCGUUCCUCUGCCCAUCUGCCGAGCUCUUAUCUUAUUGCUGCGGUUGCAUUUUGUGUUGUAGUGGUUUCCGCAGGCAUGGGAACACUUUUCCUAAGACUUCAAUGUGAGUAUCAUUAACUGAAGUGCUAAGACGGAAUGGAGGGGCAUGGGAGGAAGGCCAUGCCACACGGAAGAGCGGCAUUUCCUUACACACAGAAGCAGGAACGUGGAACCCCACAAAACCACACCUGCCGGCCCUGAAGCUCCCUUGACUGCCCCACACUUCCUUUCUGGGCCCAAGGGUUUCUGACCCGAUAGCGCCCACAGCAUUCACGCCUCACCUUCACACUUCUCUAUCAAUAUUUGUGAUAGCUUAUAGAGCUCAGUGCCAAUGUCACACUUCACCACUAAGUGUCAUUAUACUAUAGCUACUCUGGGGCAUAAAAUGUCCGUUAGACACCUAUACCCCCUUGCUUCUUUAAGCCUGAGGCUCGGCAGCUGUGGCUGCCCUUGCUUUUCCCACAGGCAGCGGGCAGCAGCAAAGACAGACAAAGCCCGACUCGUCACUUUCCUACCGUGAUCCUCACCAGGCACCGCAAUCCAGCCUUUAUUUAUUCUUCCUUUCUCUUAAAGCACAUAACAGCGUUGAAAGUGAGCCAUCAUCGCUGCUCCCAUGCCCCGGAUGGCCAUGCAAUCUCCCGCUAAAAGGGACAACAGGGAGCAAGACUCCAGCUGAAAGGCGAGGAGUCUGCACGGGGCUUGCCUUGCCCAGACAGAAGACUGGUUAACGUUGUUGUGGGCUGGGUGUGUGAUGGGAUGUGGCCUCAAGGUCAUGUUUGAGGCCCAGCAAAUGCAGGGUCUGUGGCUAGAAAUUGUAGCCCAGAGACACUGGGCUUUCACAGCGUAAGAGCCACUUUGUAAUUGAACGGAGGCAGGGAGCCACAAAGAAAGAAGUAAGGCACGGAACCUCCUCUUAAUGGCUGUAGUCGGGGUUCAGAGGCAAACUCACACCAGGGGAGGGCUGACCACCCCAGGGGCAGGGCAGGGGCUCUGGUCACUGUACACUGGCCCUCUCCUUGCUGGGAGGGAUACCUGAGGAUCCCCCACGUCUCUUAACCACGUAGAAAAUCAGAAAGGAAACUCCAACUUCUCCAGACUGCUAGAACGAAGCCGUAUCAAAUAGACACUGAUGCUAUGGUUGCGACCUCAGGGCCUUCUUCCACAGCCCCUCACAAACCCUAACUCAGCUCAAUGGCCCUACUGGCUACCAGAAGCUUCCCUGUUAACACCUAGAGCCUUCCAAGCUCUGUACCUGCACGCACAACUGCUUUUCCCUGUAUUGCCCUGACUCUUUUCUGCACAUCUGGAUUCUGCUCAUCUUUCAAAUGCCUCGUCCUUUGUGAGCCUUCUGGAUAGAAGAGGCCUCCGUUUUUCUUAAACAUCCACAGCCUCUGACUUGGGCCUCUUUGCUGCUGGUUCAUAUCCUUUCUGCCUUAUAUUCUAUUGUUUUGGUACAUGCCAUGGCUCCAACCAGAAGUCGCUGAAAAUAAGAACCAAUGGUACUCAUCUUUUCUCUGCUUCCCCUUCCCAGGCAGCUCAGCGUUUGUGGAAUGAGUCACUGACAGGGGCAGAAGCAGGGCUGCUACCUCCCUGUGAUCAAUGCACUAUGACACGGGAUCAUCAACAUAAAGUGAACACAGAAAAGGGAAAGAUGUCCCAGUGGAAAGAAGCAAAGAAGACGCCUUCCGCAAGGUGACGAGACCGCGGGACGUGGCUCUGUCCUCCGACACAGGAGCGGCGCCCUACAGAGAGACGGUUUACGAAGUACUUUCUCGGGCAAGAUUCUCUAAGCAACACGGGGAGGAAAAGGAGGCCUACUGAAGCUGGUCAGUCACCAUCUAGUCAGACAACUGAUGGCACCUGCAGAGCACAAGCAAUAUGCCAGCAUCACGGGGGGUAUGAAGAUGCCACUGCCUUCAAGGAACCUACACCUGUGAAGGACCCUCAUGACAACGGAGUCCAGUCGCCCGGCCCGGGCCUGUGCCUCUCGUGCACCACAGCUGAUGCGGCCCACGUAUCCAAAUGCUUCCGUGAUAAAUGCCUGCCCCUCCCACUUUGCCAGACAGGAAGUUCCACAGGAGCACCAGCCACACACUGGGGUCUGUGCAUCACUGUACCCCUGGGGUCGAGCACACAGCAGGUCCUCAAGAGGGCUUAAAAGCAAUCGCCAUAGCAGAAAGAAUACAGAGGACGGCUAUGUUAACCUCUGGCAAGUCGACACUGACUCCUCACACCCCUUCAAAAGGCCUGGAGAGAACUCAAAUCCCACUUCUAGGAGCUCCUACCAGUCAACGGCGGCUGAUAACAUUAUCAAGGGAUGGCCCCCAUAAAACGCCGUCUUGUCCUUCCUCUUAGCGGGACAGCUGACAGACUGCACACUCGGAGUAGACUACAAGGGCCAAAGAGGCAAGCAAGUAAAACCGCCCAAUGCUUUGUAUGGAACACAGUCCUUCUACAUUGGAGAGAAAUCCUUGCUGUCAUUAUGUCUAGAGGGAAAAUAAAUAUGAAUGAAGUAAGCGUCUCUGGUGGUGCAUUCUCUGCGAAGCGGUAAAGAGAUGCUGGAUGAUCACCUUUUAAAUUCUCGAAUGAAUAGCUGGACUUUACACCCCUGUUCUGCCUAGUCCAUCCUGUCCACGGCUACCUAUAAAGCACAGCUCUGGCUUAGCCACGCUACUGCUUUAAGACCUUAAUGGCCGACUGCCUACAGUCUAAAGGUCAAACCACCGCAGUAUAGUAUUCAAUGCUGUUCCACCAUCUGGCCCUAACUUUGCGUUCUCAUGACAUACCACCUCCACCAUCACCUGAAUCCAUUCUGCCACCAUCAAAACGCACAAUGUAGCUUUCAGUUCCCUGAACCGUCCUGCCAUUCGGAGGUUUUGCUCACGGUUAGGACGAUCCAUCAAAAAAAUCCUUCCAGGCCCAGCUCGGAGGGGGUGUCCUCCACGAAACCCCGUCUGAAACACGCACAAGGCAGGGAACAUGUGAAGAGUGAGCCAGAGAGUCAGGAGCCUGGAGCUCACCUCACAGACCAGCGUCUGGGAAAGACCACAGCGCAACAGAGCAAACUGGUAACAGAAGAUAGAUAGCGUGUGUUAUAAACACAUCGCUCAGCAUGGCUUGGUUCUGGCUGGGAACGUAGCAGAGAAUCACCAUUUUGCUCUGGGCCCACGAUGCCUUACUUCUGCCUGUGUCAAGGCACGGCCCACAUUCUGGCUCUAGUAAGACUCCUUGUGUAACAGACCAUAAGCUCCUUAAAGGUAGGGUCUGUGUCUAUGCACGCUCAAGGUGUAGAUGGGAUUGAAUAUAGGUGCAUAUGGGAUUGAAUGGAACCCAUGCUUGUUGCCCUCGACGGCAACCUAAACAGACCCCCUACCACAGGCUCUCAGGGAAAAUCUUCACUUGUCUUUGGGGCAUCUGCCUUUUCUUUCAAAGCCACAUCUGAUUAUGUUGCCUUCUCACAUCCACACGUCCCUGGCCACUGUAAGAAAAACACACACUCCUUAGCCCGUACCCAGGCCUACUAGCCCAUUUCUGUAGAUGGCUCCUCUAUUCUAGCACAAAGAACUUUGGAGACUUCCCAAGGUCACUAUCAUGCUUUUCCGUACCUCUAUGCCUUUGCACAGACCAUAUGUUCUUUCCCUUCUCUUUUGCCUGCAAACUCCUACUCAUCCCUGUAAGCCCCAACUGAAGUAUUUCCUCCCUAAGGUCUUCUGGGACCCAUCCAGAGUGAGUCAUUUUCUCAUAUGCCCAGCAUACCCCCUGCUGCUCUACACGAGGAUUACUCAUCUAGGGGACUAUUCAUUCCCCGUCUAGGGCUAUAACUGCUCCAUAGAAACAAUCUAUCUAGUUCUCUCUGACUGUAGAUCCGGCACCUAUUAAGUAGGUACUCAGUAAAUGUCUUCAAUAAAUGAACGAGUGAGGUCUCCUACACAGAGAAAAAAUGAUCUAGAAAAAGAUCGUAUAAAGUGGGCAGCACCAACAGUAUCACCUGAAACCCGUAAGCCCCUUUACAGUUACGACUACUGCAAUGACAGGCAGCAAAGUUUUCCAGACCCUCGUUCUGCUCUCUUAACUUGGCACAAGGGGGACCAGCACAUGCCCCUUUCCUCCUCUCCCCUUCCUACUCACACCGACCUCCAAAUGCCACAGGAAUAUGGACCUGGUCCAAAAGAAAGCUAAUCUCAACAUUAACCCAGGAGAGUCUUGUUAAUGAAAAACUUUGCUAAGAACACUCUGUUUAUUUAUUAAUUAUUUGGCCUUUAAAGAAGUGUGAAAUCCACACAUGUGAAGUGCCAAAAACUGUUGGUUUUUCAUGGAGAAUCUUUAAUGGUGGCAACGCUGCAGACUUGUUUUUGUUUUUGAUUCCGAAGUAGGACUUGCAGUCUUGCUGGGGAAGUUGGACUUGUACUUAUAAGCUGUGUGAGUUGGGGCGGCUUGCUUAACUUCUCUGGAGCCUUAUUUCCUCACCUGUGAAAUGGGGAUGAAGUAUCUACUCGGGAGGAUUGUUGCAUGCAUUAGCAAUGACAGGGGAAGGGUCUCACCCCUCAAAGUGAUCUUAAAUGGUCCUGGAACUAUUAUGCAGUGUCACUGCACUUGGUUUAUAUGCUUUCAUCGCUUGCAACGCGUACGUGAGGUUUCUCUGUCCAGAGCGCCAUGCCACACAGCAUCUUGUAUAAACCUACAAUGCUUCUACUUUCUGGGAUCUUAACAGCGAGCAGCUCUGCCACGCGGCACUGAAACCGUUCUGGACAUCUUGACCGCACGCUAACCUGUCAAAAGGAUGUGGCCACAGAAAUUGUUUCCAAGUAAACGGAGCCCUUUAUUAGGAUAUCUUAACGUUAACCGGGCAUCAUGCAGGCUACUUACUUGCUAUAAUAAUCUUUUAAUUUAGAAUGGAUUGUUCAUUGAAUAAGAUAGCGGGAAUUAGGUUUUUGCCAAGGGCGAAGCGCGGCCAAAAUUCUUGUAAUCCGUGGCAGAUUGUAAAAUUAUCUUUAUGAACAGGCUGGCGGCAUCGCAUUAAAUAGCACGUCCCCCGCCGGAUUUCCAGAAGUUAGUUCUUAGUGCAAAUACAACCGUCACUAGAAGAAUAAAGCAAGAAACUUCUGUAGCUACUAGGCGGCUGCCGUACAGAGGCACAUUACCCAUGCACUCAGUCGAAGGGACACUCACGUGGGACUGCCCGCUGCUUAGGAAACAUGCUAAAUAAAGAGGAUUCUAAAUGCCCAGGCACUCAGGAAUUCUUUUAAAAAUAACAUGGAAACCAUGAUCAUAAAGGACAUUUUAAAAACUGCACUCAAACUGAGGACAUAUUAAUCUGAGGGCUAAGCGAAACGAAAAACCUACUGUGUGGUGGGUAGAGACGCAAUGAGGUGGGAGCGAGGUGGACAACAGCAUGUGCUGAAGACCUACUGUGCGCCAGGGCCGCGUAGCGCGCUGUGCUUAUUCGCUCGCGUGCGUCACCCUCGCACCUACCUUGUUCCCAGUUUGUGGAUGCUGACUGAUGCUCAAAACGCUCAGAAACCCAUCCAAGUCGCCAAACUGCUAAGUGGGGGAGUCGGGCUCUGACUCCACCCUCAUGACGCCUUGACUUUGGACCGACUGCUCUGAAGAUAGCCUCGAUACCCCAGUAAGUUAACUUCUCACAAGGCCACUACUAGGCGCUUAGUGAGAACACAAUCUUACUAGAAGGGGGCACAACCCGGCCGUGAAGUGGACUGAAUGUACACCACUUAACGUCCUCCAUCCACCACCUACAACACAGGGUAAAACUCAACCCGUCCUUCUGCUUUCGAGUCCUUCCUAAUCCAGCCCCGAUGCACUCCCCUCCCUUGCUUGACGACCAUCUGUUGAAUACUUUCUAUACAAAAGGCGUAGCACGAAGCAUUGCAGGAGCAGUGUGGGAGAUCCACUGGAACAGUACAUAUUCUCUGCCCUCGAGGGGCUUCGAGUACAGGAGGGAAACUGAGGCAGAAAGCCAUACAACAGCAAUAAAAGCAGGGCACUAUGAGGAUGAGAGGGACAACUAAAGAACAGUCUGAGAUAAAAAUCCAGACGUUUUCUCCCGUGGUUGCCACGCUCUGUCAUUCACGCAGCUGCGCCGGCCACAUUCGACUGGUCGCAAAACCAAGAGCAGCCAAAGGCAGCAACACACGGGCCGAUCAUUAAGGAGAAAACAGUGGCCUACGCACUGGGCUUUCUACGUGAGAUCGUGAACAAGCACACCAGAAUACCUCUCUUGGUCGAGUUUCACAUUCAGGAGAGUGAACCCCCUUUUAUUCUCCUUUAAAAAUUUCAAAUUACCCAGCUGAUAUGCAGUAUAUGCUCCCUGUAAAAAAUUAAAAUGUUACAUACACAAA